rnacentral:rRNA from 1 species
UACGGAGGGUGCGAGCGUUAAUCGGAAUUACUGGGCGUAAAGCGCACGCAGGCGGUUUGUUAAGCUAGAUGUGAAAGCCCCGGGCUCAACCUGGGAUGGUCAUUUAGAACUGGCAGACUAGAGUCUUGGAGAGGGGAGUGGAAUUCCAGGUGCAGCGGUGAAAUGCGUAGAUAUCUGGAGGAACAUCAGUGGCGAAGGCGACUCCCUGGCCAAAGACUGACGCUCAUGUGCGAAAGUGUGGGUAGCGAACAGG